rnacentral:rRNA from 1 species
UCGGGUUGUAAAGCACUUUUGUCCGGAAAGAAAACUUCUGCCCUAAUACGGUGGGAGGAUGACGGUACCGGAAGAAUAAGCACCGGCUAACUACGUGCCAGCAGCGCGGUAAUCGUAGGGUGCGAGCGUUAAUCGGAAUUACUGGGCGUAAAGCGUGCGCAGGCGGUUCGUUAAGACAGAUGUGAAAUCCCCGGGCUUAACCUGGGAACUGCAUUUGUGACUGGCGAGCUAGAGUAUGGCAGAGGGGGGUAGAAUUCCACGUGUAGCAGUGAAAUGCGUAGAGAUGUGGAGGAAUACCGAUGGCGAAGGCAGCCCCCUGGGCCAAUACUGACGCUCAUGCACGAAAGCGUGGGGAGCAAACAGGAUUAGAUACCCUGGUAGUCCACGCCCUAAACGAUGUCAACUAGUUGUUGGGUCUUCAUUGACUUAGUAACGUAGCUAACGCGUGAAGUUGACCGCCUGGGGAGUACGGUCGCAAGAUUAAGACUCAAAGGAAUUGACGGGGACCCGCACAAGCGGUGGAUGAAUGUGGAUUAAUUCGAUGCAACGCGAAGAACCUUACCUACCCUUGACAUGGUCGGAACCUGCUG